GUGCCAGCCGCCGCGGUAAUACCGGCAGCCCGAGUGAUGGCCGAUCUUAUUGGGCCUAAAGCGUCCGUAGCUGGCUGCGCAAGUCCGUCGGGAAAUCCAUCAGCCCAACUGAUGGGCGUCCGGCGGAAACUGCACGGCUUGGGACCGGAAGGCUCGAGAGGUACGUCCGGGGUAGGAGUGAAAUCCUGUAAUCCCGUCCGGACCACCGAUGGCGAAAGCACUUCGAGAAAACGGAUCCGACAGUGAGGGACGAAAGCUAGGAUCGCGAACCGGAUUAGAUACCCCUGUAGUCC
rnacentral:rRNA from 1 species